AACGUAGGAGACAAACGUUAUCCGGAGUUACUGGGCGUAAAGGGCGUGUAGGCGGUCUGUUAAGUCUGGCGUGAAAGCUCUCGGCUAAACCGGGAGAGGUCGUUGGAUGACUGGCAGACUAGAGGACGGUAGAGGCGUGUGGAAUUCCGGGUGUAGUGGUGAAAUGCGUAGAGAUCCGGAGGAACACCAGUGGCGAAGGCGACACGCUGGGC
rnacentral:rRNA from 1 species